AUGAUGGAUUUCGCGCCACGGAAUGAAUCAAAGAAUUGAGGACAUUUCCAAUACCGACAGCAGCUCCGGCUAAAGCAAUUGUAGCAGCUCCAGCACCUAUUGAUUUAGCACCUUCUAACAUCUCGAGUCGAGAAAACACUUUUCUUGUCACGUUUUUCCUUCGCUGUUCUUUCUUGGAUUUCUUAGAUCGGCAGAGCACG